UACGUAGGGCGCAAGCGUUGUCCGGAAUUAUUGGGCGUAAAGAGCUCGUAGGCGGUUUGUCGCGUCUGCUGUGAAAGCCCGGGGCUCAACCCCGGGUCUGCAGUGGGUACGGGCAGACUAGAGUGCAGUAGGGGAGACUGGAAUUCCUGGUGUAGCGGUGAAAUGCGCAGAUAUCAGGAGGAACACCGAUGGCGAAGGCAGGUCUCUGGGCUGUAACUGACGCUGAGGAGCGAAAGCAUGGGGAGCGAACAGG
rnacentral:rRNA from 1 species